rnacentral:rRNA from 1 species
UACAGAGGGUGCGAGCGUUGUUCGGAAUUAUUGGGCGUAAAGCGCUUGUAGGCGGCACGUCAAGUCGCGUGUGAAAUCCCCAGGCUUAACCUGGGAAGUGCGCGCGAAACUGACGAGCUUGAGUGCCGGAGAGGGUCGCGGAAUUCCCGGUGUAGAGGUGAAAUUCGUAGAUAUCGGGAGGAACACCAGUGGCGAAGGCGGCGACCUGGACGGACACUGACGCUGAGACGCGAAAGCGUGGGGAGGCAAACAGG